rnacentral:rRNA from 1 species
GACGAACGCUGGCGGCGUGCCUAAUACAUGCAAGUUGAGCGAUGAAGAUUGGUGCUUGCACCAAUUUGAAGAGCAGCGAACGGGUGAGUAACGCGUGGGGAAUCUGCCUUUGAGCGGGGGACAACAUUUGGAAACGAAUGCUAAUACCGCAUAACAACUUUAAACAUAAGUUUUAAGUUUGAAAGAUGCAAUUGCAUCACUCAAAGAUGAUCCCGCGUUGUAUUAGCUAGUUGGUGAGGUAAAGGCUCACCAAGGCGAUGAUACAUAGCCGACCUGAGAGGGUGAUCGGCCACAUUGGGACUGAGACACGGCCCAAACUCCUACGGGAGGCAGCAGGAGGGAAUCUUCGGCAAUGGACGAAAGUCUGACCGAGCAACGCCGCGUGAGUGAAGAAGGGUUUCGGAUCGUAAAACUCUGUUGGUAGAGAAGAACGUUGGUGAGAGUGGAAAGCUCAUCAAGUGACGGUAACUACCCAGAAAGGGACGGCUAACUACGUG